rnacentral:rRNA from 1 species
AUUGAACGCUGGCGGCAGGCCUAACACAUGCAAGUCGAGCGAGCGGCGGACGGGUGAGUAACACGUGGGUAACUACCCAUCAGAGGGGGAUAACUACUGGAAACGGUAGCUAAUACCGCAUACUAUCGGAUAACCCAUAUGGGAUUAGCUAGUAGGUGAGGUAAUGGCUCACCUAGGCGACGAUCCCUAGCUGGUCUGAGAGGAUGAUCAGCCACACUGGGACUGAGACACGGCCCAGACUCCUACGGAGGCAGCAGUGGGGAAUAUUGCACAAUGGGCGCAAGCCUGAUGCAGCCAUGCCGCGUGUAUGAAGAAGGCCCUAGGGUUGUAAAGUACUUUCAGUCGGGAGGCGUUACCGACAGAAGAAGCACCGGCUAACUCCGUGCCAGCAGCCGCGGUAAUUC